UUCGAAAGCCCAUGGUCAUUCAUAGCAUUCCUUGCUGCAGCAGCUAUCCUCGGCUUGACCAUCGCACAGACAUGCUUCUUUCAAGUCUUUGAACAAAUGAGUAAG